GAGUUUGAUCUUGGCUCAGGACGAACGCUGGCGGCGUGCUUAAUACAUGCAAGUCGAACGGGGUCCAUCCUUCGGGAGAAGACCUAGUGGCGAACGGGUGAGUAACACGUGAGCAAUCUGCCCCAAAGACUGGGAUAAGCCAGGGAAACUUGGUCUAAUACCGGAUACCUUCAUCGGGUCUUAUGUCUCGAUGAAGAAAUGUUUUUUCGCUUUGGGAGGAGCUCGCGGCCUAUCAGCUUGUUGGUGGGGUAACGGCCUACCAAGGCUUCGACGGGUAGCUGGUCUGAGAGGAUGAUCAGCCACACUGGGACUGAGACACGGCCCAGACUCCUACGGGAGGCAGCAGUAGGGAAUCUUGCGCAAUGGGCGAAAGCCUGACGCAGCAACGCCGCGUGAGGGAUGAAGGCUCUCGGGUUGUAAACCUCUUUCAGCAGGAACGAAAUUGACGGUACCUGCAGAAGAAGCUCCGGCCAACUACGUGCCAGCCGCCGCUGUAAU
rnacentral:rRNA from 1 species